rfam:Oryza nivara chromosome 2, whole genome shotgun sequence.
ACUCCGUAAACCCUAGAUUUCCGUGUCCAACUUUAACUGUCCGUCUUAUAUGAAAUUUUUUUAUAAUUUGUAUUUUCAUUUUUGUUAGAUGAUAAAACAUGAUUAAUAUUUUAUAGGUGUCUUGUCUUUUUUUUUAUAAUUUUUUCAAAUAAGAUGGACGGUCAAACAUUAGACAUAGAAACCAGAGUUUGUCCUUUUU